rnacentral:rRNA from 1 species
UACAGAGGUCCCAAGCGUUGUUCGGAUUCACUGGGCGUAAAGGGUCCGUAGGCGGUUUUGUAAGUCAGUGGUGAAAGCCCAUCGCUCAACGGUGGAACGGCCAUUGAUACUGCAAGACUUGAAUUAUUAGGAAGUAACUAGAAAUAUGUAGUGUAGCGGUGAAAUGCUUAGAGAUUACAUGGAAUACCAAUUGCGAAGGCAGGUUACUACUAAUGGAUUGACGCUGAUGGACGAAAGCGUGGGGAGCGAACAGG